rnacentral:rRNA from 1 species
AGCAGCCGCGGUAAUUCCAGCUCCAAUAGCGUAUAUUAAAGUUGUUGCAGUUAAAAAGCUCGUAGUUGAAUUUCGGGAUCAUCAGGUUGGUCGUGCCUCUGGUAUGUACUGAUUUCGAUGGUUCCUCCUUCUUGAAGAACCGUAAUGCCAUUAAUUUGGUGUUGCGGGGAAACAGGACUGUUACUUUGAAAAAAUUAGAGUGUUUAAAGCAGGCAAUCGCUUGAAUACAUUAGCAUGGAAUAAUGAAAUAGGACGUUCGAUCCUAUUUUGUUGGUUUCUAGGAUUGACGUAAUGAUUAAUAGGGAUAGUUGGGGGCAUUAGUAUUCAAUUGUCAGAGGUGAAAUUCUUGGAUUUAUUGAAGACUAACUACUGCGAAAGCAUUUGCCAAGGAUGUUUUCAUUAAUCAAGAACGAAAGUUAGGGGAUCGAAGACGAUCAGAUACCGUCGUAGUCUUAACCAUAAACUAUGCCGACUAGGGAUCGGAUGAUGUUAAUUUUUAAUGACUCAUUCGGCGUCCG